ACCAGUAUGGCACAGUGGUUUGAGCGUUAGCCUACAACUGGAGACCAGGGUUCAAUUCCUAGCUCUGCCA